ACGGUUACAUCACGUUCAAACACCGGCUCUCGUACGACCACCGAAGUUAAGCCAGAUUGGGCCUGGUUAAUACCUAGAUGGGUAACCAUUUCGGAACACCAGGUGCUGCAA